rnacentral:rRNA from 1 species
AGAGUUUGAUCAUGGCUCAGAACGUACGCUGGCGGCACGCCUAACACAUGCAAGUCGAACGAAGUAGCAAUACUUAGUGGCAGACGGGUGAGUAACAUGUGGGUAUCUGCCCUUUGGCCUGGAAUAACACGAGGAAACUUGUGCUAAUACCGGAUAAGUCUUUACAGAGAAAGCUUUAUGCACCAUUGGAUGAGCCCGCACUUGAUUAGUUUGUUGGUGGGGUAAUGGCCUACCAAGACUUUGAUCAAUAGCUGAUUUGAGAGGAUGAUCAGCCACAUUGGGACUGAGACACGGCCCAAACUCCUACGGGAGGCAGCAGUGGGGAAUCUUGCACAAUGGAGGAAACUCUGAUGCAGCGAUGCCGCGUGAGUGAAGAAGGCCUUUGGGUUGUAAAGCUCUUUCGUCGGGGAAGAAAAUGACUGUACCCGAAUAAGAAGGUCCGGCUAACUUCGUGCCAGCAGCCGCGGUAAUACGAAGGGACCUAGCGUAGUUCGGAAUUACUGGGCUUAAAGAGUUCGUAGGUGGUUGAAAAAGUUGGUGGUGAAAUCCCAGAGCUUAACUCUGGAACUGCCAUCAAAACUUUUCAGCUAGAGUUUGAUAGAGGAAAGCAGAAUUUCUAGUGUAGAGGUGAAAUUCGUAGAUAUUAGAAAGAAUACCAAUUGCGAAGGCAGCUUUCUGGAUCAUUACUGACACUGAGGAACGAAAGCAUGGGUAGCGAAGAGGAUUAGAUACCCUCGUAGUCCAUGCCGUAAACGAUGUGUGUUAGACGUUGGAAAUUUAUUUUCAGUGUCGCAGCGAAAGCGAUAAACACACCGCCUGGGGAGUACGACCGCAAGGUUAAAACUCAAAUGAAUUGACGGGGACCCGCACAAGUAGUGGAGCAUGUGGUUUAAUUCGAAGAUACGCGCAGAACCUUACCAACACUUGACAUGUUCGUCGCGACUUUAAGAGAUUAAAGUUUUCGGUUCGGCCGGACGAAACACAGGUGCUGCAUGGCUGUCGUCAGCUCGUGUCGUGAGAUGUUGGGUUAAGUCCCGCAACGAGCGCAACCCUCACUUUUAGUUGCCAUCAUUAAGUUGGGCACUCUGAAAGAACUGCCAGUGAUAAGCUGGAGGAAGGUGGGGAUGACGUCAAGUCCUCAUGGCCCUUACGUGUUGGGCUACACACGUGCUACAAUGGUAUCUACAACAGGAAGCGAAACAGCGAUGUUAAGCAAAUCCUUAAAAGAUACCUCAGUUCGGAUUGCACUCUGCAACUCGAGUGCAUGAAGCUGGAAUUACUAGUAAUCGUGGAUCAGCGUGCCACGGUGAAUGCGUUCCCGGGUCUUGUACACACCGCCCGUCACACCAUGGGAGUUGGUUCUACCUUAAGGCAAGGUUUAAUACCCUUGACCACGGUAUAGUCAGCGACUGGGGUGAAGUCAUAACAAGGUAGCCGUA